GAUGAAUGCUGGCGGCGUGCCUAACACAUGCAAGUCGAGCGGCAGCGCGAGUAGUUUACUACUUGGCGGCGAGCGGCGGACGGCUGAGUAACGCGUGGGAACAUGCCCCAAAGUGAGGAAUAACUGCCCGAAAGGGUAGCUAAUGCCGCAUAUGGUCUUCGGAUUAAAGGAGUAAUCCGCUUUGGGAGUGGCCUGCGCACGAUUAGAUAGUUGGUGAGGUAAUGGCUCACCAAGUCGACGAUCGUUAGCUGGUCUGAGAGGAUGAUCAGCCAGACUGGAACUGAGACACGGUCCAGACUCCUACGGGAGGCAGCAGUGAGGAAUCUUCCACAAUGGGCGAAAGCCUGAUGGAGCAACGCCGCGUGAAGGAUGAAGGCCCUCGGGUCGUAAACUUCUUUUAUAAGUGAAGAAUAUGACGGUAACUUAUGAAUAAGCACCGGCUAACUACGUGCCAGCAGCCGCGGUCAUACGUAGGGUGCAAGCAUUAUCCGGAGUGACUGGGCGUAAAGAGUUGCGUAGGUGGACAAGUAAGCGAAUAGUGAAAUCUGGGGGCUCAACCUUACAGACUAUUAGUCGAACUGCUUGUCUCGAGAAUGGUAGAGGUAACUGGAAUUUCUAGUGUAGGAGUGAAAUCCGUAGAUAUUAGAAGGAACACCAAUGGCGUAGGCAGGUUACUGGACCAUUUCUGACACUGAGGCACGAAAGCGUGGGGAGCGAACGGGAUUAGAUACCCCGGUAGUCCACGCCGUAAACGAUGGAUACUAGCUGUUGGAGGUAUCGACCCCUCCAGUAGCGAAGCUAACGCGUUAAGUAUCCCGCCUGUGGAGUACGGUCGCAAGACUAAAACAUAAAGGAAUUGACGGGGACCCGCACAAGCGGUGGAUCAUGUUCUUUAAUUCGAUGAUAAACGAUAAACCUUACCAGGGCUUGACAUCCCGAGAAUUAAUCCGAAAGGAUUGAGUGCUUUUAGAACUCGGUGACAGAUCUUGCAUGGCCGUCGUCAGCUCGUGUCGUGAGAUGUUUGGUUAAGUCCAUCAACGAGCGCAACCCUUGUGAAUAGUUGUAUUUUUCUAUUCAAACUGCCCCGGCAACGGGGAGGAAGGAGGGGAUGAUGUCAGGUCAGUAUUAGUCUUACGUCCUGGGCUAGAAACGUGAUACAAUGGCCGGUACAAUGCGUAGCGAAGCCGCAAGGUGAAGCAAAUCGUAUCAAAGCCGGUCCCAGUUCGGAUUGGGGGCUGAAACUCGCCCCCAUGAAGUCGGAAUCGCUAGUAAUCGCAGAUCAGCAUGUUGCGGUGAAUACGUUCCCGGGUCUUGUACACACCGC
rnacentral:rRNA from 1 species